UACGUAGGGUGCGAGCGUUGUCCGGAAUUAUUGGGCGUAAAGGGCGCGUAGGCGGCUUGGCAAGUGGAAGGUGAAAUCCCUCGGCUUAACCGAGGAACUGCCCUCCAAACUGCUUUGCUUGAGGCCGGGAGAGGCGAGUGGAAUUCCCAGUGUAGCGGUGAAAUGCGUAGAUAUUGGGAGGAACACCAGUGGCGAAGGCGGCUCGCUGGACCGGUUCUGACGCUGAGGCGCGAAAGCGCGGGGAGCAAACGGG
rnacentral:rRNA from 1 species